GGACAACUAUCCAGAAUCAGCUGCAGUUGUUCUAGGUUCACAAGGUGUUGAUCAUGUACCUGGUACCAUGAUGGAAGCAUUUGAUUCUCCUCAUGCCAUGACUGAACCACAUAACCCGAGUAAUAGUUCUUCUGAUGUGACUGAAAGAGAUCAACUGCAUACAGCCACAAAUGGCAACAGUGACAUUAUGAUUGAAACCGGC
rnacentral:misc_RNA from 1 species